rnacentral:tRNA from 3 species
GGUGACGUGGCCGAGAGGCGAGGCAGCGGCCUGCAAAGCCGUUUACACGGGUUCGAAUCCCGUCGUCACCU